rnacentral:rRNA from 1 species
CGUAGGGUGCGAGCGUUAAUCGGAAUUACUGGGCGUAAAGCGUGCGCAGGCGGUUUUGUAAGACAGAUGUGAAAUCCCCGGGCUCAACCUGGGACCUGCAUUUGUGACUGCAAGGCUAGAGUACGGUAGAGGGGGAUGGAAUCCGCGUGUAGCAGUGAAAUGCGUAGAUAUGCGGAGGAACACCGAUGGCGAAGGCAAUCCCCUGGACCUGUACUGACGCUCAUGCACGAAAGCGUGGGGAGCAAACAGGAUUAGAUACCCUGGUAGUCCACGCCCUAAACGAUGUCAACUGGUUGUUGGGUCUUUACUGACUCAGUAACGAAGCUAACGCGUGAAGUUGACCGCCUGGGGAGUACGGCCGCAAGGUUG